CAUUAGCCCCGAUAGAAGUGGAAAUCCUUUUGUGCCGGGGUUCGGCGCAAAAGAUUGAAACGUAUAGCGGGAUUAGCU
rnacentral:sRNA from 1 species